rnacentral:rRNA from 1 species
UGAGGAAUAUUGGACAAUGGGCUCACGCCUGAUCCAGCCAUGCCGCGUGCGGGAAGAAGGCCCUACGGGUCGUAAACCGCUUUUACACGGGAAGAACAAGGGAUACGCGUAUCCCCUUGACGGUACCGUGGGAAUAAGGACCGGCUAACUCCGUGCCAGCAGCCGCGGUAAUACGGAGGGUCCGAGCGUUAUCCGGAAUCAUUGGGUUUAAAGGGUCCGCAGGCGGGCCGUUAAGUCAGGGGUGAAAGCCCGCGGCUCAACCGCGGGACUGCCCUUGAUACUGGCGGCCUUGAAUCGUACCGGAGUGGGCGGAACAUGUAGUGUAGCGGUGAAAUGCAUAGAUAUUACAUAGAACACCGAUCGCGAAGGCAGCUCACUAGGUAUGCAUUGACGCUGAGGGACGAAAGCGUGGGGAGCGAACGGGAUUAGAUACCCCCGUAGUCC